rnacentral:rRNA from 1 species
GAUGAACGCUGGCGGCGUGCCUAAUACAUGCAAGUCGAGCGAACAGACGAGGAGCUUGCUCCUCUGACGUUAGCGGCGGACGGGUGAGUAACACGUGGAUAACCUACCUAUAAGACUGGGAUAACUUCGGGAAACCGGAGCUAAUACCGGAUAAUAUAUUGAACCGCAUGGUUCAAUAGUGAAAGACGGUUUUGCUGUCACUUAUAGAUGGAUCCGCGCCGCAUUAGCUAGUUGGUAAGGUAACGGCUUACCAAGGCAACGAUGCGUAGCCGACCUGAGAGGGUGAUCGGCCACACUGGAACUGAGACACGGUCCAGACUCCUACGGGAGGCAGCAGUAGGGAAUCUUCCGCAAUGGGCGAAAGCCCGACGGAGCAACGCCGCGUGAGUGAUGAAGGUCUUCGGAUCGUAAAACUCUGUUAUUAGGGAAGAACAAAUGCGUAAGUAACUAUGCACGUCUUGACGGUACCUAAUCAGAAAGCCACGGCUAACUACGUG